rnacentral:lncRNA from 1 species
GGGGGCUUUGGUGUGGUAAAUUUAUGCCUCUUCAAUCAAUAUUUGUUGUUAAUAUGAUGGUGAAGAAUUUUUAUUGAGCCAUAUUGAUCUAAUAAAUGCUUUUGAUGAUUACACAAUAUUGAAGUAUAAAAUGAGACUAAUAUCUUUGAAUCUUGGUUAAGAAUAUUUUUGUAGGAAGCUAACCCUCGUGAUAAGUUUUAAAGUUAUUUGGAAGUACUUAGGAAGCUUUUGAAUCAAAAAAAUCAAAUUUGAAUAUA